AAAAAACCCUACUCUCUCAUUUCACUUCAGCCGCCUCACGCCCUAACCCUCAUUCUUUUCUUUUCUUCUCUCUGAGUUCCAUCUUCCAUGCCUCCCUCUUCUAUACUUGUCCCUCUUCAUCAUGCUUUAAAAAAAACGAAGAUUAACAAAAAUCUGAGAGUGUUUAUAGUGUGGAUUUUGUUAAUUUUUGCAUUUUUUUUUUUUUAAAACUGUGAGUUGUUUCUUUUUUGCUCUAAUGUAAGUCUUUCGUCGCCGGCGACGUAGAGAACGCGUUCUCUACACAAACGGUGCUAGAGACUCCAUCUCCGCCGCCGAUCUAUAGUGGAGGAUUCUCUGAUUUCUCGCCGGAGCAGAACGGAAAGGACUUUGAUGGAGGUUUUGGCGGAUCGGACGGCCCGAUCUUGCCUCCGCCGUCGGAGAUGCAGUCGGAGAAGGGCUUUGCUCUGAGAGAGUGGCGCCGAUGAGUCCGCCAACUCAGUAUUCAGAUACUUCUAACUUUGUCUCUGUAAUUCAGAUUAGAAUUUAAAUUUUUCUCUAAUUUUAAUAUAAGCUCAAUUAUGGUUAUUAUACUAUUUGCUUAGUAAAGUCAAAGAGCUAUGAACUUCUAACUUCGUCUCUGUAAUUCAGAUUAGAUUUUGAUUUUUCUCUAAUUUUAAUAAAUUUUUCCCAUAAAUUUAAAAUUUUGAGCUCAAAAUAUCAUUAUUAUUAAUUUCUUAGUAAUAUGAACUAUCUUCUAAGUUCUAACUUCUUUGAAAUUCAGAUCAGAAUAGAAUUUUCAUAAUUUUUUUUUUUAAUUUAUAAAGUACUCAGUUACUGUACUGUCUCUGUCCGAGCGCAUAGAGCCACCCAUAUUCGAAGAAAGUAAAAAGCAAGCACACUCAUAUUUCUCUCUCUCUCUGCAGUCUCUUUCUUUGUUAUCACUCAUUCCCCUAAAGCAACACGCCAUCAUUACAAAGAUCAGCCAUCUUUCACUCACUUAUGAAACUGUUGUUAAGUUUCACUCAGUUCCAGUGAAUCUUCCAUCAGGUAAAUAAAUCUCAUUUUAAGGUUUUGUGCUGGCAAGAUUAUAUCAAGAAAUUCAAGUGUUUAUAGUUGUUUUUGAGUAGUGUUUUUUCUUCUUCUUUUUUUGGGGUGGUUUUACAAUAAGAAAUGGUAGUUCUUGUUAGUUAUCUAAUCAAUGCUUCUUCUGUUUGGUUGUUUAGAAUUAACUGUCAACAUCUACUAUCUUAAAAAUUAGAAAUUGAGCUUAUCUGACAAGACUUUGUUGUCUGAUUUAUUGUUUCGUUUGCAGAAUUAGUUUUUUAAUUGCUGAGAUCAACUUAAUAAAUAAAUAAAUAAAUAAAUAAAUAAAAUGAUAUUUUAAAAUCUGUAUUUCCAUUAGUUUGCUUUAGUUUCCGAUUGGCUUAGUAGUUAAAUUAGGAAUUUUUUUUUCCUUUCUAUUUCUUCACUGAGAUAUCAAAUGAUGAGAAAAUUAGUAUUCAAAACUUAAUCUUUCACUUUGGCUACCAUUAAACCGAGAUAAUUUUAUGUAUCGUUUGUUUUUAAUUAUUUUUUCUACUUUAAAUUCCUAGUCACAUACUCACAGCUGAGAAUGAUAAGUGCCUUUGGUGCUCCAUUUUUGUUAUCAUUAGUGAUUUGCUAUAUGGGUUAACUUUUUUUUCUUCCUUUUUUGCUUAUUUUUAGGAUUUAUGGAAAAUUGGCAUUUGGAGGGAUUUAUGAUGAUUUUGGCUGCAUUUUCUUGCCACUGUCUAUGAAUCAAUAUAUAUAUAUAUAUAUAUAUAAGUAGAGACCUCAUGCAAGAGUGCAUGAGGUUCUGCCAUGUGGCGUUCUAUAUGAGUUCUUUGCAAUCAUCUUUAUUAUGAAACGAUUUUUUCCAACCUUAAAAAUUAAAACAAUGAAGCUUUUAUGUAUAGCACUUAUUGCUUCAUCAAAAAUCAAUUCAGUUCUUCCUCUCUCCUAACUCUUCACUUCUUUCCAUUACAAAAAACAAAGACUCUUCACUGAUUCCGGACAACCAAAAAAAAAAAAAAAAAAACUUUAUUUCCCCGUUCAAAUUUAAAUGCACACUAUGGAUAAGCACCUGACAAAGUGAGACCAAGCUUUGCACUAUUACACCUUUAUAAUAAUAUUAUACUUCCAAGUAAUUUCCGUUGAGAUCAAACCCAUCUUAAAUUUUUUAAAUUUCAUUCAUUCUCUUUCUUAACUCUUCAUUUCUUUCUCUGUCUCUUAACUCUUCACUUCUUCUAGCAAAAACAAAAACAAAACCUCCUUCACUUCCCCUUUCAAUUAAAUGCACACUAUGUACCUGUUUCUUUUGAAGAUUAUAUAUUGAUGGAUCAAUGAUUCCUCUAUGAGUUCAUGGACAAAAGCUCCUUUCUUAGUGUCUGUAAAUAAAUAAAUAUUGCUAACUCUCUCUCUUUUUUUCUUUCUUUCAUUUUUUUUUUUCAAAAUUUUAUUUGGGAUACUGAGUUUGUGGUUUGCAAUGUUUGAGGGAAGACAGACUCAGGGAGAUUGAAGCGUCAACUUUACCUAUUUUGGCCGGGGACUAAAGUCACUAAACCCAAGGAGAAAAAGCCACCGGCCCCUAAUUUAUCAAAUCCUUCUUCAGUAUCUAAGAGGUGCGGAAAUUUUCUUUUUGGGGCUUGGAUGUGCAAGUAGUGAACUUUUAAUUUGCGAUAAGCCCUCUCCCUUUGUCUCUCUAUCACUUCUUUCUCUCUCUCUUACAUCUGCAAAGACGAAGAAGGUAUGUUAGAUUUCUAGUAUUGUACAACUGAGCCAGCAUAAAUUUGCAUCAAACGUUAUUAAGAAAUGUUUGGAGUAUGGUGGCCCCACUGAACGAGAACUAUUAAUUGGGGAGAUUUUUGGGCAUAAUGAAGGAACUGAUAAUUUAUUGGCCGAAGGUUUCAUCGGCACUUUUCUUCAAUUACAACACCUUGAUGGGACUGCCAUAUCGGGUUUUGGUAGAUACUAACUUCAUCAAUUUCUCUAUCUAGAAUAAACUGGAUUUGGAGAAGGGAAUGAUGGACUGCCUAUAUGCAAAAUGUGAGUUUAGAAUCACUGGUUUCUUCAAUUUAAUGUGAAUAUUAAUUUGCUGCAAGAAUUGUUGUGCCGUGUUGAUGAGGUAUCCUAAGUUCAACAUAGUUGUUAAUGUGGUUUUAUAACAAGCAUUGAGUGCCAUGUAUCAUUGGCAAACACUUAAAUAUGUGUUGGUUGUUUAAUGAUAUUUAUCAAAAUAUUACUCUUGGUUGUGUGGAUGUCCAUGAGAAUGCUUAAGGAAUAAAAUGAGAAUCUUUUUUUAAA